CUAAUGACUCUCAGCAACGGAUAUCUUGGCUUCUUGCAA
rnacentral:rRNA from 1 species